AAGAUAUAGGUUUCAUGCAUUACGAGGAAAGAGAGAAUUGUCAAAACCAAUGUAAGUUUUUCAUGCAAUUAAUAAUUGCCCAUUUCCUUGAUUUUAGCUGACUAGAGCAGUAUCAACGAGUGAUACGUAAGAGACUAGGGAGAUGCUAGAGAAAUGUUAGAGUCAUUACACAAAACCCCUUUUGAGAUAUUAGAGAUUUGAGAGAGGAGGAAUUGUCGACAAUAGAGAGAGUAGAGUUAUGAGAAUAUAAGAGUAUUAGAAAACCCAGAUUAGACUUGGAGUGGAGAAUGCUGGUUGUAGUUCGACGAUGAAGGGAGGGAGUGUUAGAAUAUUACUUCAUCCGAACAGAUUACGAGAGAGACAACCAACCCUACACUUGAUAGUAUUAUGUCAGGUCGUACGGUGGCGCUACGAGUCUGCGCGUGGCGAGGCCAUCGAGGGCCAUCGAGAGAGAAAACAAGAAUAGAUCUUCGAUGAUCGAGAGCGAACGUCAACGACAUAACCUGAGUGUUUUGAAGUCUCUUCUGUUCUGCCUUGUGAGCUAUACUUGUAUAGAGAUAGAGUUUAGACUUACUAGAGUUGUCUUGAGAAUAAACGAUUAUUAUCA